GUCCACGCCGUAAACGAUGUGCACUAGAUAUGGGAGGUAUUGACCCCUUCCGUGUCGCAGCUAACGCAUUAAGUGCACCGCCUGGGGAGUACGAGCGCAAGCUUAAAACUCAAAGGAAUUGACGGGGGCCCGCACAAGCGGUGGAUUAUGUGGUUUAAUUCGAAGCAACGCGCAGAACCUUACCUGGGCUUGAACUCCUGAGAAUCCUCCCCAAAAGGAGGAGUGCCCUUCGGGGAAUUCAGU
rnacentral:rRNA from 1 species